rnacentral:rRNA from 1 species
ACCCGCUGAACUUAAGCAUAUCAAUAAGCGGAGGAAAAGAAACCAACAGGGAUUGCUCUAGUAACGGCGAGUGAAGCAGCAAUAGCUCAAAUUUGAAAUCUGGCGUCUUCGACGUCCGAGUUGUAAUUUGUAGAGGAUGCUUCUGAGUAACCACCGACCUAAGUUCCUUGGAACAGGACGUCAUAGAGGGUGAGAAUCCCGUAUGCGGUCGGAAAGGUGCUCUAUACGUAGCUCCUUCGACGAGUCGAGUUGUUUGGGAAUGCAGCUCUAAAUGGGAGGUAAAUUUCUUCUAAAGCUAAAUAUUGGCCAGAGACCGAUAGCGCACAAGUAGAGUGAUCGAAAGAUGAAAAGCACUUUGGAAAGAGAGUUAAAAAGCACGUGAAAUUGUUAAAAGGGAAGGGAUUGCAACCAGACUUGCUCGCGGUGUUCCGCCGGUCUUCUGACCGGUCUACUCGCCGCGUUGCAGGCCAGCAUCGUCUGGUGCCGCUGGAUAAGACUUGAGGAAUGUAGCUCCUUCGGGAGUGUUAUAGCCUCUUGUGAUGCAGCGAGCGCCGGGCGAGGUCCGCGCUUCGGCUAGGAUGCUGGCGUAAUGGUCGUAAUCCGCCCGUCUUGAAACACGGACCAAGGAGUCUAACAUCUAUGCGAGUGUUCGGGUGUCAAACCCCUACGCGUAAUGAAAGUGAACGGAGGUGAGAACCGCAAGGUGCAUCAUCGACCGAUCCUGAUGUCUUCGGAUGGAUUUGAGUAAGAGCAUAGCUGUUGGGACCCGAAAGAUGGUGAACUAUGCCUGAAUAGGGUGAAGCCAGAGGAAACUCUGGUGGAGGCUCGCAGCGGUUCUGACGUGCAAA